UUACUCUCACUCAAGUUCAGA
rnacentral:piRNA from 1 species